rnacentral:rRNA from 1 species
GACGAGGGAUCCUAGCGUUGUUCGGAAUCAUUGGGCGUAAAGAGUAUGUAGGCGGCCUUGUAAGUCAGUUGUGAAAGCCCCGGGCUCAACCCGGGAAGUGCAAUUGAUACUGCUUGGCUUGAAUGUGGAAGAGGGCAGUAGAAUUCCUGGUGUAGUGGUGAAAUACGUAGAUAUCAGGAGGAACACCGGUGGCGAAGGCGGGUCUCUGGGCCAAUACUGACGCUGAGGAGCGAAAGCGUGGGGAGCGAACAGG